rnacentral:rRNA from 1 species
GAUGAACGCUGGCGGCGUGCCUAAUACAUGCAAGUCGAGCGAACAGAUGAGGAGCUUGCUCCUCUGACGUUAGCGGCGGACAGGGGAGUAACACGUGGAUAACCUACCUAUAAGACUUGGAUAACUUCGGGAAACCGGAGCUAAUACCGGAUAAUAUAUUGAAUCGCAUGGUUCAAUAGUGAAAGACGGUUUUGCUGUCACUUAUAGAUGGAUCCGCGCCGCAUUAGCUAGUUGGUAAGGUAACGGCUUACCAAGGCAACGAUGCGUAGCCGCCCUGAGAGGGUGGUCGGCGACACUGGAACUGAGACACGGCCCAGACUCCUACGGGAGGCAGCAGUAGGGAAUCUUCCGCAAUGGGGGAAAGCCUGACGGAGCAACGCCGCGUGAGUGAUGAAGGUCUUCGGAUCGUAAAACUCUGUUAUUAGGGAAGAACAAAUGUGUAAGUAACUAUGCACGUCUUGACGGUACCUAAUCAGAAAGCCACGGCUAACUACGUG